GACGUAGGGCGCGAGCGUUGUCCGGAUUUAUUGGGCGUAAAGAGCUCGUAGGCGGUUUGUCGCGUCGGGAGUGAAAACCCCAGGGCUUAACCCUGGGCUGGCUUCCGAUACGGGCAGACUAGAGGUAUGCAGGGGAGAACGGAAUUCCUGGUGUAGCGGUGAAAUGCGCAGAUAUCAGGAGGAACACCGGUGGCGAAGGCGGUUCUCUGGGCAUUACCUGACGCUGAGGAGCGAAAGCGUGGGGAGCGAACAGG
rnacentral:rRNA from 1 species